rnacentral:miRNA from 1 species
GCGCGCGUGUGUGUGUGUGUGUGUGUGUGUGUGUGCGCGCGCAAGU